GUUUACGGCCAUACCAGCCUGAAUACGCCCGAUCUCGGAAGCUAAGCAGGGUCGGGCCUGGUUAGUACUUGGAUGGGAGACCGCCUGGGAAUACCAGGUGCUGUAAGCU
rnacentral:rRNA from 1 species